GAGCUUGCUCCGCUGACGAGUGGCGAACGGGUGAGUAAUGCAUCGGAACGUGCCUAUUUGUGGGGGAUAACGUAGCGAAAGUUACGCUAAUACCGCAUACGCCCUGAGGGGGAAAGCGGGGGAUUCGUAAGAACCUCGCGCAAUUAGAGCGGCCGAUGUCGGAUUAGCUAGUUGGUGGGGUAAAGGCUCACCAAGGCGACGAUCCGUAGCGGGUCUGAGAGGAUGAUCCGCCACACUGGGACUGAGACACGGCCCAGACUCCUACGGGAGGCAGCAGUGGGGAAUUUUGGACAAUGGGCGAAAGCCUGAUCCAGCCAUGCCGCGUGAGUGAAGAAGGCCUUCGGGUUGUAAAGCUCUUUCAGCCGGAAAGAAAUCGCGCAGGCUAAUACUCUGCGUGGAUGACGGUACCGGAAGAAGAAGCACCGGCUAACUACGUGCCAGCAGCCGCGGUAAUACGUAGGGUGCGAGCGUUAAUCGGAAUUACUGGGCGUAAAGCGUGCGCAGGCGGUUAUAUAAGACAGAUGUGAAAUCCCCGGGCUCAACCUGGGAACUGCGUUUGUGACUGUAUGACUAGAGUACGGCAGAGGGAGGUGGAAUUCCGCGUGUAGCAGUGAAAUGCGUAGAUAUGCGGAGGAACACCGAUGGCGAAGGCAGCCUCCUGGGCCAGUACUGACGCUCAUGCAC
rnacentral:rRNA from 1 species